rnacentral:lncRNA from 1 species
UGAAAGUGUUGAGAUUCUACAAAAAAACUUCAGUACCUUCUGAAUAUUCCAGAAAAAGUUUCAUUUAUUAAAGCAUCUAAUUAUUAGAUUCUGUUAUAAUUUUAAAUGGUAUUCAUUUAUGAUACAUGUUAAUUCUAUUAAAUAGAAUUGUUUUUAUUAAUCUAUGAGACUCCAUAUCCUAAUAGUAGAUAAAUGUCACACAUCAUAUUUCUUAUUAUUUCAUUAACACUGACCUACUUUCUUUGAAAGUAGCUACAAAAAGGUAUGUGUUUUCCAAGUGCUUGCAGUUGGUUCUUUGAUCAGUCAGGAGUGCAGAGUCUCUGGGAUGCCUGGGAUUGGUGAGUGUGUGAAUGUUUUCCACAGACAUGCCCAAAUAACUUGCUUCCCCAAAUAACUUAAAAUCUGUAUGAAUAUAAAGCUUCUUCAUGAAAAGUUAUCAGAAUGUACAUUAUGAAAAACAAAACCAUUGCCAAUCUAUUGAUGCUGAAGAGACAAUAAUAUAGUCUGCAAAUGGAACUGAGUAGACUGGAAAAAGUCUUUUGGAGAAGGACAGUGAAUAGGAUUUUUGAGGAAACAAUAUAGCACUGAAAAUGUGGGGAGGGAAUGUGCAGUAGACAUGAUAUCUGGUUCCAAAAAUGAUACAUGUCCCUAGAUGGUUUUUGUCUUAGUUAUAACACAUGUAUUUGCAUUUUAAACAAAUCUCAAAUGUUUACUGAGUAUAAAUAAGUACUUCGUUUGUGACUUCAUUAGUCUUCACGAGCUUCCUUCUGGGUGUAUGGAAGCCUGUGAUUCACUUAUUAUGCCUUGUCCUUCGUGUUGUACAAAGGCACUACCGCU